rnacentral:rRNA from 1 species
UUUAAUGAGAUUCCCGUGACAAACCGGAGGAAGGUGGGAUGAGUCAAGUCCUUCAUGGCCCUUAUGGGUAGGGCUUCACACGUCAUACAAUGGUCGGUACGGAGGGUUGCCAACCCGCGAGGGGGAGCCAAUCCCACAAAGCCGAUGGUAGUCCGGAUCACAGUCUGCAACUCGACUGCGUGACGUCGGAAUCGUUAGUAAUCGUGGAUCAGCAUGUCACGGUGAAUACGUUCCCGGGUCUUGAACACACCGCCCGUCACACCAUGGGAGUGGGUUCCACCAGAAGUAGGUAGUCUAACCGCAAGGGGGGCGCUUACCACGGUGGGAUUCAUGACUGGGGUGAAGUCGUAACAAGGUAACCGUA